UUCAGACGAUGCGUCAUGCAUAUCAAUAAGCGGAGGAAAAGAAACUAACAAGGAUUCCCCUAGUAACGGCGAGUGAAGCGGGAAGAGCUCAAAUUUGAAAUCUUAAAGGGUUUCCCUUUACGAAUUGUAGUUUAAAGAAGUGUUUUCUGUUGAGGUUUUGGUAAAAGUUCUUUGGAAUAGGACAUCAUAGAGGGUGAGAAUCCCGUAUUUGACCUUUACUUUCAACUUUGUGAUACACUUUCAAAGAGUCGGAUUGUUUGGGAAUGCAGUCCAAAAUGGGUGGUAAAUUUCAUCUAAAGCUAAAUAUUGGCGAGAGACCGAUAGCGAGCAAGUACCGUGAGGGAAAGAUGAAAAGAACUUUGAAAAGAGAGUUAAACAGUACGUGAAAUUGUCAAAAGGGAAGCGUUUGACACCAGUGUUGUUUUUCUGAAAAUCAAUUAAAGAACUGUUUAUGCUAAGCUGUUUAGACUUUAUCAGCUAUCUGUUUAGUUUUGAGCUUUUCUUUAAUGCACUUUUCAGUUAACAAGUCAACAUCAAUUUCUUUUGCUGUAAAAAAGCUUGAGGAAGGUGGCUUGAGAUUCGUCUUAAGUGUUUAUAGCCUCUUGCCUAUGCAGUCGGAGAGAUUGAGGUCUGCAGCGUAGAUCCUUCGGGGCUAAAUGCAUUUGUGCUAAGUUAUAGCAUUUUAUAGACAACUUGUUGACUAUGAUUUGUCUUGUAGCUUACUCGCUUAUGUUAUUUUACCUACGCUUAGGAUGUUGACACACGCGCGUGCUCG
rnacentral:rRNA from 1 species